rnacentral:tRNA from 1 species
GCCUGAGUGGCUCAGUGGUUGAGUAUCUGCCUUUGGCUCAGGUAGUGACCCGUGGGUCGCGGGAUCGAGUCCCGCAUCGGGCU